rnacentral:lncRNA from 1 species
GAAAUUUAUGAUCAAAAAUAAUUUUUGAUCAUCAGAAACUAUGGUGUCGGCUACAAGGCUAUGGUCACACUCUCUGCUGUCGUGUUUCUACGGUUCUCAUUAAUGGCUGAAACACAUUCAUAAUCAUUCUAGAGAAAGAAAAAAAAAUCUUGACGAUUCUUAUGGGGAUAUUAUUCUUCACUCGCGCGUCGUAGAGCAG